rnacentral:lncRNA from 1 species
UUUGGUUAAAAAGAAAAAAAUUCUGAAGAAAUGAAAACCCGCCAAAAUUCCUGCCGAAAUUUCAACUGACCCUCAUGGUGUCAUGCUCUAAAGUCUAAACCCAGUUUCCCUACUAUAUGCUAAAAUUAAACCCAGUUUCAACUGACCCUCAUGGUGUCAUGUUCUAAUAUUGGGCGUAGAAGGCGUCAGGUAGCCACCCUCGGUUUUGAUUUCAAUUCUUUGUUUGCUGGAAAUUAGGGUUUGAUAUCGGGGAUUGCUUGCUAUGUUUGUUACAAUAAUAGGGUUAGAGAUUUGAAAGAAAAUUAUUUGUAUAGAUUUUCGAUUCUCUGUUCUGGUUGCUAUUUGUUUCAACGCCAGAGGAUCUGUAUUUUGCUUUCGAUAUCCGAUUCCUUCCUUCUAUGUGUUAUGGGUGUGUGUUUUGCAGGUUACUGGCCCAUCAACUACCAAAUUGAACAUGUAAUGAUCCAAAAAUUCAUGAAAAACCUUCAAAUACAUAGUUCUUGCUUUGGGUGCUAAAUCUAUGUACUAAGUGAUAGAGACUUGGGGCUUUAAGGGAUGUUGGAUUCAGAGUAGUGAGAUAUCCGACCAUAAAGUUUCACUAGUUAACUUGCUCUUGCUGUACAUUUGUUUGGGUACUUCUUGUUCUUACAUUGGCAUAUUGAGAAUUUUGAGAUAAGGCUUGUUAUUAAGUGAUGCAAAAUAUGUUGGGCUGCAUUCUGGUCAGUCGAAAAUGGUGGUGCCUGAACAUCCAUGUAAAUAUUAUCAUCUUUAAGAAUUGGAUGAUUGACAGUUCAAGUGUGAAGAGUAACUUUCUAAGUGUACCUCUUGUUUUAUCAUCAACCCCGAUCCUAGAUAAACAAAGCUUUUACACAUUACCACUAGUUCAAAAUCCUCCCUUAGUCUUCUCUUUGUAUUGUCUCUAGCAUUUGAGAAUCGGGCAUUCCCUAGUUAUUUCCCUCGUCUUUAUUGGUUAUGCAAAUCCUCCCAAAAUUACGUACUUGAUAACUCGUCAUUUUGUAACCUUCUGGUUGUUUGGGUGAUAUAGAAGGGAGAAAACACAUGUUGCGUUUAAGUUACUGAAAUAAUUGAAGUAGUUCCUUUUGUUCCCUUGUAAUUUGGCAUGAUCGAUGGAUUAAGAUAUUCAAAUCAGCUAAGGCCAGAACUAUUAGCUUAGCCAAUUUUGAUUCGAAAGUUUUUUGAACUUAAACAUGGUUCUCUCUGAACUAUAAGCUUUAGACUUUUUUACCUUACAUCUGCUUCAUUCAUUUAGUUUAACUAUUCUUUGGCCAAGAGGAAUUUGAGUUCUGACUUUCUUUGCAAUAAAAUGCAUCUGAGCUUUACUACUUAUUACUUAAAUGUAAUUUAUCAAGCAAAUGGAGAUGAUCAAAGGGUGUAUAUAUUUACGAGGUAGAAUUGUUUUUCAUGUCCCUUUACCUCUUGUGAUGUUGUUUUGAGUAACUGUAUAAAUUUAGGGGAUGGGGAUAGUUUGCCUAACAUUCUUCUGGGAUGUGUAUAAGGUCGGUCAAUUUCUAAAACCUGGUUGUUAUAUUUGAUAGGAAACUUGUUCAUCAUAAUGGGAAUGUGAUUCAUGUCUACUUGAUGGACUAUUGUUCAUAAAUUGGUUUCAAAUGAGUUUAAUCAGGUCCUGCAUACUAAGGAUUAGCUGGAUAUGACUCCUAUUGAAUGCAAAGUUGACAUCUAAAGGUGGGCUUUAUCUCGAGGCUCUACCAACCCACCUGUCAUUGUUGUCUGACUAUUAUGAAAAGAUUUAACAAGGAAAAUGUGAUAACUGCAAUUUUGUUACGUCAUCUCUAAGUUUGAUGAUCUUUUCUUGUCAUUUAAAUCAUUGUGCUUGUUCUUCAAGUUGGAGGUUCGAGACAUACUGACUGUGUCAAUUAAUGUGAAUGCAUAUAUGUGCGGAGUGGAGCUUGGAACCUUGGUGGAUUUGGUUUUGCGAUCUCAACAGAUCAGGCCUCAGGCAAUAUGAAUGUUCCAGAAUUUCAUUUUGCAGAGUAUGAUGUUGAGGACUCUUUACUUCCACUUCAGCCGUAGCUGAAUUACACUGCUCCUGAACUUGCUAGGAGUAAAGCAUCUUCAGCCGGAUGUUCUUCUGAUAGUUUCAGCUUUGGAUGUCUUGCCUACCACUUGAUUGCA